UACGGGGGGGGCAAGCGUUGUUCGGAAUUACUGGGCGUAAAGGGCGCGUAGGCGGUCCGCUAAGUUAGAUGUGAAAACUCUGGGCUCAACCCAGAGCCUGCAUCUAAUACUGACGGGCUAGAGUUCUGGAGGGGGUAGCGGAAUUCCUGGUGUAGCGGUGAAAUGCGUAGAUAUCAGGAGGAACACCAGUGGCGAAGGCGGCUCACUGGCCCGGUACUGACGCUUAAGAGCGAAAGCGUGGGGAGCAAACAGG
rnacentral:rRNA from 1 species